rnacentral:rRNA from 1 species
ACCACGGGACACGUGAAACCCUGUGGGAAGCAGGAGGGACCACCCUCCAAGGCUAAAUACUACCUAGUGACCGAGAGCGUAUAGUACCGUGAGGGAAAGGGGAAAAGAACCCCGGGAGGGGAGGGAAUAAGAACAUGAAACCCUGCAAUUACAAGCUGUGGAAGGACAAUGGUUGUGUGACCGCGUAAUUUUUGGAGAACGGGCCAACGAAUUACGCUAAGUAGCAAGGUUAAGCACUUAAGGUGCGGAGCCGUAGCGAAAGCGAGUUUUAACUGAGCGUUCAGUUACUUGACGUAGACCCGAAACCGGGCGACCUACCCAUGAGCAGGAUGAAGCGAAAGUAAAAUUUCGUGGAGGUCCGAACCCACGAGCG